rfam:Homo sapiens chromosome 2, GRCh38 reference primary assembly.
AUCAUCUGGAGAUCUUGUUAAAAUGCAAAUUCUGAUUUAGUAGGUCUGGGUGAGGCCUGAGAUUCUGCAUUUCUAACAUGUCCCAGAUGAUACCAA